AUACGAAGGUCCCAAGCGUUGUUCGGAUUUACUGGGCGUAAAGCGUCUGUAGGCGGCGUGGUAAGUCAGAUGUGAAAUCCCGGGGCUCAACCCCGGAACUGCAUCCGAUACUGCCAUGCUAGAGUAUUGGAGGGGAGUCUGGAAUUCUCGGUGUAGCAGUGAAAUGCGUAGAUAUCGAGAGGAACACUAGUGGCGAAGGCGAGACUCUGGACAAUUACUGACGCUGAGAGACGAAGGCCAGGGUAGCGAAAAGGAUUAGAAACCCGAGUAGUCC
rnacentral:rRNA from 1 species